GCAGAAUGAAAUCCAAUACUUUUCUUCCAAAUUUUGAGGUGCUUAUUGCAAAAAUUGUGCCCGUUUUGCUCUAUAUGUCACUUUUUCACAAAAUAUGAUGUUCCUUGUGUUCUUUUAAUACGUCAUUUUUUUUCUUUUUUUUGCUUUCAAAGACCAUUUGUAAGAUGAAGUCUUGUAUUUUCCCCAAAUCAGCAGAAAACUUGCCACAAAGACAGGAUUCCCAUCUUCCUCUAAGUCAGUUUGCAAGCAUUUGUUAAAUUCUCAGACCA